AUUGAACGCUGGCGGCAUGCCUUACACAUGCAAGUCGAACGGUAACGGGCCUUCGGGUGCCGACGAGUGUCGAACGGGUGAGUAAUGUAUCGGAACGUACCUUUCAGUGGGGGAAAACGUAGCGAAAGUUACGCUAAUACCGCAUAUUCUGUGCGCAGGAAAGCAGGGGAUCGCAAGAACUUGCGCUGAUUGAGCGGCCGAUGUCAGAUUAGCUAGUUGGUGAGGUAAAGGCUCACCAAGGCGACGAUCUGUAGCGGGUCUGAGAGGAUGAUCCGCCACACUGGAACUGAGACACGGUCCAGACUCCUACGGGAGGCAGCAGUGGGGAAUUUUGGACAAUGGGGGCAACCCUGAUCCAGCCAUGCCGCGUGAGUGAAGAAGGCCUUCGGGUUGUAAAGCUCUUUCGGCCGGGAAGAAAUUGCACGGGCUAAUACCCUGUGUGGAUGACGGUACCGGAAUAAGAAGCACCGGCUAACUACGUGCCAGCAGCAGCCGCGGUAA
rnacentral:rRNA from 1 species